rnacentral:sRNA from 1 species
GAAAUGAUGACAAUAGUUGCUCCCCACUUUCUCGCUGUCCUACUGAAUGUACUUGCUUGGAUACAGUUGUCCGAUGUAGCAACAAGGGUUUGAAGGUCUUGCCGAAAGGUAUUCCAAGAGAUGUCACAGAGUUGUAUCUGGAUGGAAACCAAUUUACACUGGUUCCCAAGGAACUCUCCAACUACAAACAUUUAACACUUAUAGACUUAAGUAACAACAGAAUAAGCACGCUUUCUAAUCAGAGCUUCAGCAACAUGACCCAGCUCCUCACCUUAAUUCUUAGUUACAACCGUCUGAGAUGUAUUCCUCCUCGCACCUUUGAUGGAUUAAAGUCUCUUCGAUUACUUUCUCUACAUGGAAAUGACAUUUCUGUUGUGCCUGAAGGUGCUUUCAAUGAUCUUUCUGCAUUAUCACAUCUUUCUAGUGUACAUGUGCACAAUGUGCAGGUUUGUUUUGUGCCUUGUCUUUUACCCCCUAGAUCAUAAAGAGCUCUGCUUUUUCACUUUUCCCACUUCCUCCCCUGUCACAUCAAGGACUUAAAUGUUGAUAGAGAUGAGAUCAAAUGACUAAAAAACAUCAUUUUGCUCAUUUUUAAUUUGGAAGGGUUUGAAUCUGACAUACAUAUGCAGGUAACAUUCACUACAUUCUGAUUCUUAAACGGGGCAUUAAAACUUCCACAGUAUCGAGUAUUAUGAUUCUACACAUAUAUUUCA